rfam:Physcomitrella patens subsp. patens PHYPAscaffold_196 genomic scaffold, whole genome shotgun sequence.
GGGGUUGCUGUGAUGAUACCAAAGUGUUUCGGACUAGAGUUUCUGAUCUGGGGUAGUAGCCAGCAUUGAAGAAACCACUCUUGGCUGUCUGAGCAUU